AGUGCAUGUGGUGGAUGCCUUGGCAGUCAGAGGCGAUGAAAGACGUGAUAGCCUGCGAAAAGCUCCGGGGAGGCGGCAAAUAUCCUUUGAUCCGGAGAUGUCUGAAUGGGGGAACCCACCUACUUUAAGGUAGGUAUUGCAACAUGAAUACAUAGUGUUGCAAGGCGAACGAGGGGAAGUGAAACAUCUCAGUACCCUUAGGAAAAGAAAUCAAUUGAGAUUCCCUCAGUAGCGGCGAGCGAACGGGGAUCAGCCCAUUAAGUUAUGUGUGUUUUAGUGGAACGCUCUGGGAAGUGCGAACGUAGAGGGUGAUAUUCCCGUACACGAAAGGGCACACAUAAUGAUGACGAGUAGGGCGAGGCACGUGAAACCUUGUCUGAAUAUGGGGGGACCAUCCUCCAAGGCUAAAUACUCCUGACUGACCGAUAGUGAACCAGUACCGUGAGGGAAAGGCGAAAAGAACCCCUGUGAGGGGAGUGAAAUAGAUCCUGAAACCGCAUGCAUACAAGCAGUGGGAGCACCUUCGUGGUGUGACUGCGUACCUUUUGUAUAAUGGGUCAGCGACUUAUAUUCAGUAGCAAGGUUAACCGUAUAGGGGAGCCGUAGAGAAAUCGAGUCUUAAUAGGGCGUUUAGUUGCUGGGUAUAGACCCGAAACCAGGCGAUCUAUCCAUGAGCAGGUUGAAGGUUGGGUAACACUAACUGGAGGACCGAACCCACUGUCGUUGAAAAGCCAGGGGAUGACUUGUGGAUAGGGGUGAAAGGCUAAUCAAGCCUGGUGAUAGCUGGUUCUCCCCGAAAGCUAUUUAGGUAGCGCCUCGGACGAAUACCAUAGGGGGUAGAGCACUGUUUCGGCUAGGGGGUCAUCCCGACUUACCAAACCGAUGCAAACUCCGAAUACCUAUGAGUACUAUCCGGGAGACAGACUGCGGGUGCUAACGUCCGUAGUCAAGAGGAAAACAAUCCAGACCGCCAGCUAAGGCCCCAAAAUCAUAGUUAAGUGGGAAACGAUGUGGGAAGGCAUAGACAGCUAGGAGGUUGGCUUANNNNNNNGAAGCAGCCACCCUUUAAAGAAAGCGUAAUAGCUCACUAGUCGAGUCGGCCUGCGCGGAAGAUGUAACGGGGCUAAAACUAUGUGCCGAAGCUGCGGAUGUAUACUUUGUAUACGUGGUAGGGGAGCGUUCUGUAAGCCGAUGAAGGUGUGUUGAGAAGCNGAAGCAGCCACCCUUUAAAGAAAGCGUAAUAGCUCACUAGUCGAGUCGGCCUGCGCGGAAGAUGUAACGGGGCUAAAACUAUGUGCCGAAGCUGCGGAUUUGACAUUAGUCAAGUGGUAGGGGAGCGUUCUGUAAGCCGAUGAAGGUGUAUUGAGAAGUNAUGCUGGAGGUAUCAGAAGUGCGAAUGCUGACGUGAGUAACGACAAAACGGGUGAAAAACCCGUUCGCCGAAAGACCAAGGGUUCCAGUCCAACGUUAAUCGGGGCUGGGUGAGUCGACCCCUAAGGCGAGGCCGAAAGGCGUAGUCGAUGGGAAAAUGGUUAAUAUUCCAUUACUUCUGUGUAAUGCGAUGAGAGGACGGAGAAGGCUAAAUCAGCCUGGCGUUGGUUGUCCAGGUGAAAGGAUGUAGGCAUGUAUCUUAGGCAAAUCCGGGGUACUCUAUGCUGAGAUCUGAUAGCAAGCUGUACUUGUACAGCGAAGUGGUUGAUGCCAUGCUUCCAGGAAAAGUCUCUAAGCUUCAGUUACACAGGAAUCGUACCCGAAACCGACACAGGUGGUCAGGUCGAGUAGACCAAGGCGCUUGAGAGAACUCUGCUGAAGGAACUAGGCAAAAUGGUACCGUAACUUCGGGAGAAGGUACGCUGUUGUUGGUGAUGGAACUCGCUUCCUGAGCUGACGACAGCCGCAGAAACCAGGCCGCUGCAACUGUUUAUUAAAAACAUAGCACUCUGCAAACACGAAAGUGGACGUAUAGGGUGUGAUGCCUGCCCGGUGCUGGAAGGUUAAUUGAUGGGGUUAGCGUAAGCGAAGCUCUUGAUCGAAGCCCCAGUAAACGGCGGCCGUAACUAUAACGGUCCUAAGGUAGCGAAAUUCCUUGUCGGGUAAGUUCCGACCUGCACGAAUGGCAUAAUGAUGGCGGCGCUGUCUCCAGCAGAGGCUCAGUGAAAUCGAAAUCGCUGUGAAGAUGCAGUGUACCCGCGGCUAGACGGAAAGACCCCGUGAACCUUUACUGCAGCUUGACACUGAACUUUGACCUUACUUGUGUAGGAUAGGUGGGAGGCUUUGAAGCUGGAACGCUAGUUCCAGUGGAGCCGUCCUUGAAAUACCACCCUGGUAAUGUUGAGGUUCUAACUCUGUCCCGUGAUCCGGGACGAGGACCGUGUCUGGUGGGUAGUUUGACUGGGGCGGUCUCCUCCUAAAGAGUAACGGAGGAGUACGAAGGUGCGCUCAGCGUGGUCGGAAAUCACGCGUAGAGUAUAAAGGCAAAAGCGCGCUUAACUGCGAGACCCACAAGUCGAGCAGGUACGAAAGUAGGUCUUAGUGAUCCGGUGGUUCUGUAUGGAAGGGCCAUCGCUCAACGGAUAAAAGGUACUCUGGGGAUAACAGGCUGAUACCGCCCAAGAGUUCAUAUCGACGGCGGUGUUUGGCACCUCGAUGUCGGCUCAUCUCAUCCUGGGGCUGAAGCAGGUCCCAAGGGUAUGGCUGUUCGCCAUUUAAAGAGGUACGCGAGCUGGGUUUAGAACGUCGUGAGACAGUUCGGUCCCUAUCUACCGUGGGCGCUGGAAAUUUGAGAGGAUCUGCUCCUAGUACGAGAGGACCAGAGUGGACGAACCUCUGGUGUACCGGUUGUGACGCCAGUCGCAUCGCCGGGUAGCUAUGUUCGGAAGGGAUAACCGCUGAAAGCAUCUAAGCGGGAAGCCUACCUCAAGAUAAGAUUUCCCUAGGACUUUAUGUCCUCUAAAGAGCCGUUCGAGACUAGGACGUUGAUAGGUUGGAUGUGGAAGCAUAGUGAUAUGUGAAGCUGACCAAUACUAAUUGCUCGUGAGGCUUGACU
rnacentral:rRNA from 1 species